GAUUCCUUCUUGACUGUUUAUGUGGAAAGAAAAUUAGUUCAAAUCACAUUCACAGUAGAGAGCAGAGAAAAUAAAUGGAAAUAGUGACAAACAAAGUAUUCUAAAACAUUAAUAUUGGCCAUAACAUAGAAAAGUGCUUGAUAAAAUAAAUAAAGCAUCUAUAAGAAAAAUAGCAACACACAAAUGAAUCAGAUUAUACAAACACAUCAAAGCAAAGAGGAGAAUACCUUUAAGAAAUUAGGUUUAGUAUUACUAUCUCUGAAACAUCACAUGUCAGUUAAGUUCCUUGAAGUCCAAAUUCAAAAGUUCAAUAGGAAAUCGAGCAAUAUUUCAAGUCAAUACAGUCCCUGCACAAUGCAACAUUUAUUUAGGCUAUAUAAUAGAAUAUAUUUCAUGUCAAAACAGUUCAAUUUCCACUCUUAACCCUAAUUUCUCAAUUAAGUCUCACUAACAGACCAAUCAACAAAUUAUUUACUAAUAUCAGAAACCACGUUUGCAAAAAUCACUUGAAAUAUCAGAUUAUUUAAUCAAAACGCAAAAAAAUCUCAGCAACGAAAAUCACUAACACGCAAUUAGACAACAGAAUGAAAAACGAANNNNNNNNGAGAAGAACAAAAUAGAGAGAGAGAGAGAGAGAGAGAGAGAGAGAGAGAGAGAGAGGUUUUCACUUACAGUGACGAAAUCUUCAUGCUCCGAAGAAGAUUCAGCUUCGAUUUUGCUCAGAAUGGAACAAAUGUGCGAGA
rnacentral:lncRNA from 1 species